rnacentral:rRNA from 1 species
AUUGAACGCUGGCGGCAUGCUUUACACAUGCAAGUCGAACGGUAACAGGGAGCUUGCUCCGCUGACGAGUGGCGAACGGGUGAGUAAUGCGUCGGAACGUGCCGAGUAGUGGGGGAUAACGCAUCGAAAGGUGUGCUAAUACCGCAUACGAACUGAGGUUGAAAGUGGGGGACCUUCGGGCCUCACGCUAUUCGAGCGGCCGACGUCUGAUUAGCUAGUUGGUGAGGUAAAGGCUCACCAAGGCGACGAUCAGUAGCGGGUCUGUGAGGAUGAUCCGCCACACUGGGACUGAGACACGGCCCAGACUCCUACGGGAGGCAGCAGUGGGGAAUUUUGGACAAUGGGCGCAAGCCUGAUCCAGCCAUGCCGCGUGUCUGAAGAGGGCCUUCGGGUUGUAAAGGACUUUUGUCCGGGAGCAAAUGCUGGUGGCUAACAUCCACCGGAGCUGAGAGUACCGGAAGAAUAAGCACCGGCUAACUACGUGCCAGCCGCCGCCGUAACAC